AUAAAAGAAGAAAAGGUUGCGUCAAAUAGGUCCAGUUCAGCAUUAUGCCAGACAGCUAGUGUCUGACGCUGGUUUUCAACUGGACCUAUGCGGAGUUGCGGAUGUCCAUCGGUAUGAACUGAUUUAUGCUCUAUAGAAAAAAAAAAAAUAAUAAAACUACUAAACUAUGUACUAUUUAAAAAACAAAAAAAAGAAACGUAAAUCAUAAUCAGAAGGAUUAGUCACAAAAAUUUAAUAAAAAUAAAAAGUGGAGGUAAACGUAAAUAAAUUCAUACCGUGACUAAUCGCAAUCCUGAGGAAGCAUCGCUCAGUCACGAUUUUAUUUCACACAGAUGAAAUGUUACAGUGUGCACACAUUCAAAGAGCCGUAACUGGUUGCAACAUCUGUUAUCAUUGCUCAGCGUGCCACCGUUCAUUGCCGACAUAUAGUAAUGAAGAACACAAACAAGCAAUUAUAAAUUGUGAAAUUGUGCAAAAUCAUAAAACAGUUUUUUUUUUUGUUCGUUGCCAGCAGUCCACAUUGGGUACCUACCCUACGUUCUUGAGAGAAAAAAAAAAGUAUAUUUGGUCAUAAAAGCAUUCAGGCGAAGGUACAUAAGAUGUUUGCAAGUGCAAAAGUCUACUUCCCUGUACAGAAAUGAUCACCGUGCACCACGUACACGCCGUAGGGUGCACCUAUUGCCAGAAGGCCAUACCCUCAAGGCCUCCAGACAUGGCGCACCCAUGACGCAUCAUGGCCGGUGACCCGAGAGAGACCAGGAGUACUAAAUUUAAGCUGUGAGAAUACACUACACACAUUACAUACACAUUAGCCUCACGCAUUGUCAUAAAACUACAAUAGUAUGCUAAGUGGGCGAUAUAAAUAAGAUUUAAAUCCA
rnacentral:lncRNA from 1 species